GUGUCUCCUGAAGAUAUGUAGAGUGGCAUUACUCUUGGCCUCCGCUUAUAUACUGUCCUGCGUCUGGUUAUCUCGAAUGAGCGAUGUCCCUGGGCCUGGUUAUCAGACCCUGGGUUGGUGUAGUGGGGUUCCCAACGAAGCUGUUUUUCUUUGUCUAAAACACAUUUUUUCACUAUUCUCAUCCCAGGUGGAGAACUGGCUUUGUUGGCCACAGAGGAGAGACGAUGGGCCUGUACCCUGAUCCAUCCAUAUGGUGGCUGUGUACCCCAAGUUCCACUAUGUCAGGAAUCACAGGCCCAGAAGCUCAGAUGGCAAUUCUGGGGUCUCCCAGCAGCACUGGCCAAGGGGGAGAGGUGUGCCACCGGCCACUGGUUCUUCAGCUGAUCCUGUUUCCUCAGACUGGAUGACUCUCAGCUGAACUGUGCUGCUGAAAAGCCUGAAUGCUUAACCAGAUUCUAGUUCCUGGGCCUCACGCCUUAAAUACCUUUCUGCUUCCUGCCAUCACUUCCUGGGACUAAAGGGUCCACAGAGCCAGAAAUUCUCACUCCAGGAGAUUCGCCCUGAGGACGGAAUGUGUGGGCAAGGACCAGUCACACAGCACCAUGACCUGGAAAAGGGCCAACUCACUCCCUGCAGCCAGGGCUCCAGGUAAAACAUUCCCCUAGCAUGCCUGUUGAGUUCAAGGUCAUCUUAAGCUAGUUAGUUAAGUUUGAGGCCAGCCUGGGCUAAUUGAAACCCUGUCUCAAAACAAAACUUAAAAAAAUAAUAAAACGAAAUAAAAAACCCUGGGCCGUCUUUGGUGGGUGAGCCUCGGGGUGUUUGUUAGCGACCUUGGCCAGCCUCGAGGCACAGAUGGAAUCACGGGUCUGAAGCCUCCUGGUUCCUAGGCCGCUGGCCUGCUGCGGGUGCCCGGGUGUCACUCAUUCUGCGGUGAUAGCGGAUAGGGGAGGGAGUGCAUUUCACCAGAUGGCUUCAGAAUUCAUUUUCUGAGAUGCAACCGGGCUUGUUUAGGAAAAUGCCUUAAUUAGUCCUGGGGGUGGCGAGGGAGGCCCGGAGGACACGAGAUGAAAAGGGGCCGCAAAGACACAGCCAGCUUCCUCCACAGGAGAGCACAGCCUGGCACACAGCUCGCAAAGCCCUGAGAGGCGGCGGGGACCAGAGAUCAAGAGCCAGGGACAGAUGGGGUGUUACACGACCUUCAGUCUGGGCCCUGGGGCUGCGAUGUGGGGACGGGGAGACCUUGUCUGAGCUGGACCGGUCUAGAAAGAAGACAGAGACAGACGUGACUCGGCGCCCUGCCGGAGCCAGCCCAGGGGUGACACCCACCGGUGUGUGACACACGCCUGUCUCCCGCAAGGUCCACUGGGGGGAGGGAGCAUCCCGUGUGGAUUCCUGUUGCUGCUGCCUUCCACUCUCUAGUGCUGUGACGCAACUGUCCUACCAUGCCUGGUGUACGUGGAGCCUAGGAUGGACCCCAGAGCUUUGUAUAUGUCAGGCGAGGGCUCUGUCUGCUGAGCCCAGGCUCAGCCUUUGUUUUGUUUGAGACAAGGUCUCAUAUAACCCAGAUUAAUCUUUUUUUUUUUUUUUUUUUUUUUUUUUGGUUUUUCGAGACAGGGUUUCUCCGUGUAGUUUUGGUACUUGUCCUGGAUCUCACUCUGUAGACCAGGCUGACCUCGAACUCACAGAGAUCCGCCUGGCUCUGCCUCCCGAGUGCUGGGAUUAAAUGCGUGCACCACCACUGCCUGGCUAAUCCAAAUCUUUUGAGCUGGGAAAACCCACCUCCAAUCUGUCUCUAAAUUAUUCUAAUAAAUCCCCUUUCUCUA